UGGGCCCAAGGAAUAUGACGAAAAGGGCAUGUAUUUUGUUUUGUUAAGGUUUAAGGUGAGUUUGUUCGCUUGAAACCAGUUCUGUAUAUGUCUGAAAUCCUUCUCUGCUUUAUGUUUCAUAUCGUCCCAUGUAUUAGCUCUGUAGUGUAUGGCGGUAUCAUCUGCGAAGCCAAUUAAACUGCCUUCACUUGUACAUCGGGACAAGCUAUUAAUGUACACUAAAAACAGAAGUGGACCAAUGACCGUGCCCUGAGGAACGCCGUCUAGAUUUUCCGGAUUUUUUUUAAAUUCCUUGUACAUAUUAUUUUUUUCAUUUAUUGAUUUUAAUAAGGAUGGUGUUAUCCAGGACUUACGUUUGAUAUUUUUGUUUUGGAUUUUUACAUGAAUGGUAUUUUUUUUUAUACAGUUUGUGAGAACGUUAAUAAAUGUUUCAGCAACUGAA